rnacentral:tRNA from 1 species
GCCGGCGUAGCUCAACUGGUAGAGCAUCCGCCUUGUAAGCGGGAGGUUGCGGGUUCAAGUCCUGCCGCCGGCACCA